AUUUUGAUCAAAGAAGGAGAAGCUUUCUCAGCAACGUAGGUUAUGCUGUCAAGUCCAAGCACUAUUUCCCCGAGGAAAAAAGAGAGAACUUACCUGAAUGAAAUCAGAAUCUGUACUGCCAGAAAUGGCCAUCAAGAAGAAGAUUUCAGUGUUUUGCAAGUUCUGAAAAACUCUAACAGUAUGGUAAUUCUCCAAAUCAAGAAGAAGACAAUUUAAGGGAUGACUUUGAAUCAGUCACUUCUAAAUCUCCUUGGUACAUUUAUUCAUUUCACUGAGGGUAAAUUUGACUUUCCUGUGAAAAACUACUGCAUACUAAAAUCUUCUGAUGUCAAUUUGAGGUUUCUUAGCUUAUGUUGUUAGUCUGAUGAAGCAAUCAAUAGUCAAAGACUUGGACUCAGUCAGCUUUGCUAAGACAAGAUAUUAUUAACUUUUCCAUAGGUUUUAGUUUAUUUUAUUUUGAUAUUUGACUAUAGUAUUUGAGCAAGUAGGAUCAUCAACUUGAUCUCAGCACCUGAAUUUUGUAGCUGUGAUGCUCAUGACGGAGGCGGGCUAUUGAGGGGGUCAAGCAGGACUAGCAGGCUUCUAGGCUGGCAAGCUUCUGAAGAAGAGGUACAGAUGUCAACUUGGGCGAAUCGCACAUCGGAAUGGUGAGGAAAGUGAAGAGCUUUAUAAAGCAUGACAUAAGUUCACAUGGUACGUGCUUUUUGGGGCUCGAUAUGGCGUAGUCCGAAAGAUAAAUCCGUGCGGCCUAGGCCCAAAAUGAAGAACACGUGCCAUGGGCUUGGGUCAUGACAAAUAUGGUAUCAUAGUGAAUCUCCCUAGGCGAAUCUCACAUCAGAAUGGGAGAGUAAAGUGAAGAGCUUUAUAAGGCAUAACACAAGUUCAUCAAAAUGGGAGAGUAAAGCGAAGGGCUUUAUAAGGCAUAACACAAGUUCACAAGGUACGUGCGCUUUUGGGACUCGAUAUGGCAUAGCUCGAUAAAUAAAUCCGUGGGGGCUUAGGCCUAAAACGAACAAUACGUACCAUGGGCUUGGAUCGUGACAGUAGCGUAAGAAAAAAGGGGGAAAACAAGAAAAGACAAGAAGAAGAAAUUAUUAAUUGGACUUCAUUUUCUGUGGAGUUGUCAUGUAUCUUAUUGAGUGGGUAAAGAGUUGCAUCGACUUUGAUUAAUUCAACUCAUAAGAUAUAAAUGAUGUGCUAUCAGUUUUAUGCCUGUUGCCGUGUGUUAUUAUCUUAUAAUGGCUGCCACUUUUAUUUA